AGUGAAUGCUGGCGGUAGGCCUAACACAUGCAAGUCGGACGGCAGCACAGUAAGAGCUUGCUCUUACGGGUGGCGAGUGGCGGACGGGUGAGGAAUACAUCGGAAUCUACUUUUUCGUGGGGGAUAACGUAGGGAAACUUACGCUAAUACCGCAUACGACCUACGGGUGAAAGCAGGGGAUCUUCGGACCUUGCGCGAUUGAAUGAGCCGAUGUCGGAUUAGCUAGUUGGCGGGGUAAAGGCCCACCAAGGCGACGAUCCGUAGCUGGUCUGAGAGGAUGAUCAGCCACACUGGAACUGAGACACGGUCCAGACUCCUACGGGAGGCAGCAGUGGGGAAUAUUGGACAAUGGGCGCAAGCCUGAUCCAGCCAUACCGCGUGGGUGAAGAAGGCCUUCGGGUUGUAAAGCCCUUUUGUUGGGAAAGAAAAGCAGCAGGUUAAUACCCCGCUGUUCUGACGGUACCCAAAGAAUAAGCACCGGCUAACUUCGUG
rnacentral:rRNA from 1 species